rnacentral:rRNA from 1 species
AACGAACGCUAGCGGCAUGCCUAACACAUGCAAGUCGAACGCGAAAGGAGACUUCGGUCUCUGAGUAAAGUGGCGCACGGGUGAGUAACACGUGGAUAAUCUACCCAAUGAUCCGGGAUAACAUUUCGAAAGGGAUGCUAAUACCUGAUAAGCUCACGAUGUCCUCGGACAAUGUGGGAAAAGGUGGGGACCUUCGGGCCUACCGUCAUUGGAUGAGUCCGCGGCCCAUUAGCUAGUUGGUGGGGUAAUGGCCUACCAAGGCUUCGAUGGGUAGCUGGUCUGAGAGGAUGAUCAGCCACACUGGAACUGAGACACGGUCCAGACUCCUACGGGAGGCAGCAGUGGGGAAUUUUGCGCAAUGGGGGAAAGCCUGACGCAGCAAUGCCGCGUGAGUGAUGAAGGUUUUAGGAUCGUAAAGCUCUGUCAGUG